rnacentral:rRNA from 1 species
ACUGCUCAGUAACACGUGGAUAACCUGCCCAAGGGUCCGGGAUAACCCCGGGAAACUGGGGAUAAUACCGGAUGGAUCACUAGUGCUGGAAUGCUUGGUGGUCGAAAGGCAACGCCUUUGGAUGGGUCUGCGGCGGAUUAGGUUGACGCCGGUGUAACGUACCGGCGUGCCUGUAAUCCGUACGGGUUGUGGGAGCAAGAGCCCGGAGAUGGAUUCUGAGACACGAAUCCAGGCCCUACGGGGCGCAGCAGGCGCGAAAACUCUACAAUGCAGGCAACUGCGAUAGGGGGACAUCGAGUGGCAUCCACCUUGGGUGCCUGUCCAACCGUCUAAAAAACGGUUGUUAGCAAGGGCCGGGUAAGACCGGUGCCAGCCGCCGCGGUAAUACCGGCGGCUCGAGUGGUGGCCGAUAUUAUUGAGUCUAAAGGGUCCGUAGCCGGCUUUGCAAGUCCCCUGGGAAAUCCAGCGGCUUAACCGUUGGGCUUUCAUGGGAUACUACAUUGCUUGGGACUGGGAGAGGUAGGAGGUACUCGGGGGGUAGGGGUGAAAUCCUGUAAUCCUCCGGGGACCACCGGUGGCGAAGGCGUCCUACCAGAACAGGUCCGACGGUGAGGGACGAAAGCUAGGGGCACGAACCGGAUUAGAUACCCGGGUAGUCCUAGCCGUAAACGAUGCCCGCUAGGUGUCACGACGGUCGUGAAUCGUCGUGGUGCCGUAGGGAAGCCGCGAAGCGGGCCACUAGGGAAGUACGGCCGCAAGGCUGAAACUUAAAGGAAUUGGCGGGGGAGCAC